UUUGGCGGCGUGCUUAACACAUGCAAGUCGAACGGAAAGGCCCUGCUUUUGUGGGGUGCUCGAGUGGCGAACGGGUGAGUAACACGUGAGUAACCUGCCCUUGACUUUGGGAUAACUUCAGGAAACUGGGGCUAAUACCGGAUAGGAGCUCCUGCUGCAUGGUGGGGGUUGGAAAGUUUCGGCGGUUGGGGAUGGACUCGCGGCUUAUCAGCUUGUUGGUGGGGUAGUGGCUUACCAAGGCUUUGACGGGUAGCCGGCCUGAGAGGGUGACCGGCCACAUUGGGACUGAGAUACGGCCCAGACUCCUACGGGAGGCAGCAGUGGGGAAUAUUGCACAAUGGGCGGAAGCCUGAUGCAGCAACGCCGCGUGCGGGAUGACGGCCUUCGGGUUGUAAACCGCUUUCGCCUGUGACGAAGCGUGAGUGACGGUAAUGGGUAAAGAAGCACCGGCUAACUACGUGCCAGCAGCCGCGGUGAUACGUAGGGUGCGAGCGUUGUCCGGAUUUAUUGGGCGUAAAGGGCUCGUAGGUGGUUGAUCGCGUCGGAAGUGUAAUCUUGGGGCUUAACCCUGAGCGUGCUUUCGAUACGGGUUGACUUGAGGAAGGUAGGGGAGAAUGGAAUUCCUGGUGGAGCGGUGGAAUGCGCAGAUAUCAGGAGGAACACCAGUGGCGAAGGCGGUUCUCUGGGCCUUUCCUGACGCUGAGGAGCGAAAGCGUGGGGAGCGAACAGGCUUAGAUACCCUGGUAGUCCACGCUGUAAACGGUGGGUACUAGGUGUGGGGUCCAUUCCACGGGUUCCGUGCCGUAGCUAACGCUUUAAGUACCCCGCCUGGGGAGUACGGCCGCAAGGCUAAAACUCAAAGGAAUUGACGGGGCCCCGCACAAGCGGCGGAGCAUGCGGAUUAAUUCGAUGCAACGCGUAGAACCUUACCUGGGUUUGACAUGGAUCGGGAGUGCUCAGAGAUGGGUGUGCCUCUUUUGGGGUCGGUUCACAGGUGGUGCAUGCCUGUCGUCAGCUCGUGUCGCGAGAUGUUGGGUUAAGUCCCGCAACGAGCGCAACCCUUGUUCACUGUUGCCAGCACGUUAUGGUGGGGACUCAGUGGAGACCGCCGGGGUCAACUCGGAGGAAGGUGGGGAUGACGUCAAGUCCUCAUGCCCCUUAUGUCCAGGGCUUCACGCAUGCUACAAUGGCUGGUACAGAGAGUGGCGAGCCUGUGAGGGUGAGCGAAUCUCGGAAAGCCGGUCUCAGUUCGGAUUGGGGUCUGCAACUCGACCUCAUGAAGUCGGAGUCGCUAGUAAUCGCAGAUCAGCAACGCUGCGGUGAAUACGUUCCCGGGGCUUGUACACACCGCCCGUCAAGUCAUGAAAGUUGGUAACACCCGAAGCCGGUGGCCUAACCGUUGUGGGGGAGCCGUCGAAGGUGGGACUGGUGAUUAGGACUA
rnacentral:rRNA from 1 species